rnacentral:rRNA from 1 species
CCAGACUCCUACGGGAGGCAGCAGUGGGGAAUAUUGCGCAAUGGGGGAAACCCUGACGCAGCAACGCCGCGUGAGUGGGGAAGUAUCUCGGUAUGUAAAGCUCUAUCAGCGGGGAAGAAGGAAGACGGUACCUGACUAAGAAGCCCCGGCUAACUACGUGCCAGCAGCCGCGGUAAUACGUAGGGGGCAAGCGUUAUCCGGAUUUACUGGGUGUAAAGGGGGCGCAGACGGCCAUGGCAAGCCCGGUGUGAAAGGCAGGGGCAUAACCCCUGGACUGCACUGGGAACUGUCAGGCUGGAGUGCCGGAGGGGUAAGCGGAAUUCCUGGUGUAGCGGUGAAAUGCGUAGAUAUCAGGAGGAACACCGGCGGCGAAGGCGGCUUACUGGACGGCAACUGACGUUGAGGCCCGAAAGCGUGGGGAGCGAACAGGAUUAGAUACCCCUGUA